UACGUAGGCAGCGAGCGUUGUUCGGAGUUACUGGGCGUAAAGGGUGUGUAGGCGGUUGUUUAAGUUUGGUGUGAAAUCUCCCGGCUCAACUGGGAGGGUGCGCCGAAUACUGAAUGACUAGAGUGCGGGAGAGGAAAGUGGAAUUCCUGGUGUAGCGGUGAAAUGCGUAGAUAUCAGGAAGAACACCUAUGGCGAAGGCAGCACUCUGGGACGGUACUGACGCUGAGACGCGAAAGCGUGGGGAGCGAACAGG
rnacentral:rRNA from 1 species